CCAAUAGCGUAUAUUAAAGUUGUUGCAGUUAAAAAGCUCGUAGUUGAACUUCGGAAUUUGUUCAUUGGUCAGGCUUAACUGUCUGUACUGGUGUUUACGAAUUUCUACCUUCUGAGGAAUCUUCAUGCCAUUAAUUUGGUGUGGGGGGGAAUCAGGACUGUUACUUUGAAAAAAUUAGAGUGUUUAAAGCAGGCUAACGUCUGAAUACAUUAGCAUGGAAUAAUAAAAUAGGACGGUUUGGUUCUAUUUUGUUGGUUUCUAGGAUCACCGUAAUGAUUAAUAGGGAUAGUUGGGGGCAUUAGUAUUCAAUUGUCAGAGGUGAAAUUCUUGGAUUUAUUGAAGACUAACUACUGCGAAAGCAUUUGCCAAGGAUGUUUUCAUUAAUCAAGAACGAAAGUUAGGGGAUCGAAGACGAUCAGAUACCGUCGUAGUCUUAACCAUAAACUAUGCCGACUAGGGAUCGGACGAAGUUAAUUUUUAAAUGACUCGUUCGGCACCUUACG
rnacentral:rRNA from 1 species